AGAGUUUGAUCAUGGCUCAGGACGAACGCUGGCGGCGUGCCUAAUACAUGCAAGUCGAGCGAGCUGAAUUCAAAGAUCCCUUCGGGGUGAUUUGUUGGACGCUAGCGGCGGAUGGGUGAGUAACACGUGGGCAAUCUGCCCUAAAGACUGGAAUACCACUUGGAAACAGGUGCUAAUACCGGAUAACAACAUGAAUCGCAUGAUUCAAGUUUGAAAGGCGGCGCAAGCUGUCACUUUAGGAUGAGCCCGCGGCGCAUUAGCUAGUUGGUGGGGUAAAGGCCUACCAAGGCAAUGAUGCGUAGCCGAGUUGAGAGACUGAUCGGCCACAUUGGGACUGAGACACGGCCCAAACUCCUACGGGAGGCAGCAGUAGGGAAUCUUCCACAAUGGACGCAAGUCUGAUGGAGCAACGCCGCGUGAGUGAAGAAGGUCUUCGGAUCGUAAAGCUCUGUUGUUGGUGAAGAAGGAUAGAGGCAGUAACUGGUCUUUAUUUGACGGUAAUCAACCAGAAAGUCACGGCUAACUACGUGCCAGCAGCCGCGGUAAUACGUAGGUGGCAAGCGUUGUCCGGAUUUAUUGGGCGUAAAGCGAGCGCAGGCGGAAUGAUAAGUCUGAUGUGAAAGCCCACGGCUCAACCGUGGAACUGCAUCGGAAACUGUCAUUCUUGAGUGCAGAAGAGGAGAGUGGAACUCCAUGUGUAGCGGUGGAAUGCGUAGAUAUAUGGAAGAACACCAGUGGCGAAGGCGGCUCUCUGGUCUGCAACUGACGCUGAGGCUCGAAAGCAUGGGUAGCGAACAGGAUUAGAUACCCUGGUAGUCCAUGCCGUAAACGAUGAGCGCUAGGUGUUGGGGACUUUCCGGUCCUCAGUGCCGCAGCAAACGCAUUAAGCGCUCCGCCUGGGGAGUACGACCGCAAGGUUGAAACUCAAAGGAAUUGACGGG
rnacentral:rRNA from 1 species